rnacentral:ncRNA from 1 species
CAGUAAUCCUGCUCAGUACGAGAUGAUCCAUGGAUUCAGACAUGUGGUGUCUGGUCUUGUCUGAGGAGCCAGUGAUAUGAAGCUGUGUUCUGUAGGAUUAUGACUGAAUACCUCUGAGUCAGAACCUCCCAGGAAA